CUCACUCAUGCUCUGGCUGGGCUCAGCGUCAGGAGGAGGAGGGAACACAGACAGACGAGCCACUGUUAACCCCUGCUGGGUCACUCUGCUCAGCUCUCAGUGCUCUGCUCUUUCAACACUAGCCUCAUUAGAACUAAAUACAAUGAGUCAAGCAACUUUAAUUACCAAAACAACACAGAGAACAAUACAAACUUUUGACUAAACCAACUGCUGUCCUAAAAGUCUAUAAAGAGCCUCGGAUCUGAUUCAAUGCAUUUUGAGAAGGAGGCAAGGAGAGAGGAUGCAAGAAAUCAAAUACAAUUGAUUCACCCUCUGUGUUUUCACCACUCAUCCUCCUGAUACUAGCCCUGCAGCCUUUCAUUCCCUCGCUGAUACAGAUGGAGGGAGAAAAACUGGGUGGCAAAGGAGGGACCAUGGAGUGGGACUGUGUGUGACACUACAGGAGCCUAGAAGGUGUAUGGACCGUCAUCAGAGCCCUGGUGGGUGGACAAGUGGAGCCUGCUGUUAUCAAGACUACACUUGGUGUUUUGUCAUUAACAGUAGCUUACAUAGGACGGAGACAUCAUUUAGUUGACGUAAACCCAGACGGUAAUGUGCCACUAUGUAUAUGCUUUGUGCUCACUGGUGGUGCAUGAGAUGUCAUUUUUCUAGAAGUGAUUUACAGAAUCAGAAGAAAACAAUACAUUGUCAUUUUGGGAUUUAUUUUCACAAAGUCACAAGGGGGCAGUAUAGUAUUCCUAAAGAGACAACUAUGGAUGUAUUUGCCGUCUACAUUUGAUCUGGGACACCGUAAAGUUAUUGGUUUCAAUGUUGUGGCAUUAAAU